GUGGUCGGUGUACAGGUGGUGCAUGGUUGUCGUCAGCUCGUGUCGUGAGAUGUUGGGUUAAGUCCCGCAACGAGCGCAACCCUCGUCCUAUGUUGCCAGCGGGUCAUGCCGGGGACUCAUGGGAGGCUGCCGGGGUCAACUCGGAGGAAGGUGGGAUGACGUCAAAUCAUCAUGCCCCUUAUGUCUUGGGCUUCACGCAUGCUACAAUGGCCGGUACAAAGGGCUGCGAUACCGCGAGGUGGAGCGAAUCCCAGAAAGCCGGUCUCAGUUCGGAUUGGGAUCUGCAACUCGACCCCAUGAAGUCGGAGUCGCUAGUAAUCGCAGAUCAGCAACGCUGCGGUGAAUACGUUCCCGGGCCUU
rnacentral:rRNA from 1 species